rnacentral:rRNA from 1 species
UACGGGGGAGCAAGCGUUGUUCGGAUUUACUGGGCGUAAAGGGCGCGGUAGGCGGUCGUGACAAGUCACUUGUGAAAUCUCCGGGCUUAACUCGGAACGGUCAAGUGAUACUGUCGGACUAGAGUACAGAAGGGGCAACUGGAAUUCUCGGUGUAGCGGUGAAAUGCGUAGAUAUCGAGAGGAACACCUGCGGCGAAGGCGGGUUGCUGGGCUGAUACUGACGCUGAGGCGCGAAAGCGUGGGGAGCGAACAGG